GAUGAACGCUGGCGGCGUGCUUAACACAUGCAAGUCGAACGGAAAGGCCCAAGCUUGCUUGGGUACUCGAGUGGCGAACGGGUGAGUAACACGUGGGUGAUCUGCCCUGCACUUCGGGAUAAGCCUGGGAAACUGGGUCUAAUACCGGAUAGGACCACUUCUUGGAUGUUGUGGUGGAAAGUUUUUUCGGUGUGGGAUGAGCUCGCGGCCUAUCAGCUUGUUGGUGGGGUAAUGGCCUACCAAGGCGUCGACGGGUAGCCGGCCUGAGAGGGGGUACGGCCCGAGUUGGGAUGGAGUUACGCCCCGGCGUCGUCCGGAGGGAGGCAGUGGGGAAUAUGGCAGAAUGGCUCAACGUCUGAGCCAGCGUCCCCGCGGGGGUAAGGCCGUGCUGGGGGUUGUAACCCCCUUUCGACAGGGAAACUCCGUUUUGUGCGGGACCGUGGAAGAGAACCACGGGCAAACUCGUUC
rnacentral:rRNA from 1 species